rnacentral:tRNA from 8 species
GCGGGUGUGGCGGAAUUGGCAGACGCACCAGACUUAGGAUCUGGCGCCUUACGGCGUGGGGGUUCAAGUCCCUCCACCCGCACCA